rnacentral:rRNA from 1 species
GAUGAACGCUGGCGGCGUGCCUAAUACAUGCAAGUCGAGCGAACAGACGAGGAGCUUGCUCCUCUGACGUUAGCGGCGGACGGGUGAGUAACACGUGGAUAACCUACCUAUAAGACUGAUAUAACUUGGGGAAACCGGAGCUAAUACCGGAUAAUAUCUUGAACCGUAUGGUUGAAUAGAGAAAGACGGUUUUGCUGUCACUUAUAGCUGGAUCCGCGCCGCAUGAGGUAGUUGGUAAGGUAACGGCCUACCAAGGCAACGAUGCGUAGACGACGUGAGAGGGGGAUCGGCCGCCCGGGAGCGUGGACAGGGACCAGAGUCCUGCGGGAGGCAGCAGUAGGGAACCUGCCGCAAUGGGCGAAAGCUUGGCGGAGCAACGCCGCGUGAGAGACGGAGGUCUUCGGAUCGUAAUACUCUGUUACUAGGGAUAAACAGCUGUGUAAGUAAAUAUGCACGUCUUGACGGUACCUAAUCAGAAAGCCACGGCUAACUACGUG